CCCCUUCCCCAAAAACUAUUCUUCCUCUAUACUUAGAAAGCUGGUUUUCUAGCUAUGGUAAUAAAUGGACAAUGAAAUAAGCUCAUUGGACCCGGGGGCGGUACCCGGCGCCUCCACCAAAGUAUAAUUGAAGGAAUUAUACUUUGGCGGGGGCGAAAUAGGAUCGACAAGAGUGUAAAGAUUGCUCUUUUACUCGGCAUUGUACCACCGUUAUCGGACUAAAUGAGUAGUUGCAAAUGACAACUAUGCGGAAGCACGUCUCGCCGCUUAAGCGGUGCGAAUGUUUCAAACUAAGUCUUAAUCUGUCGCAAGGUUAAGCGGGGUUCGAAGGCACCUGGCAACAGAAGCCUUCACU
rfam:Bartonella bacilliformis KC583, complete genome.